rnacentral:rRNA from 1 species
CCUACGGGUGGCAGCAGUGGGGAAUAUUGCACAAUGGGGGAAACCCUGAUGCAGCGACGCCGCGUGAGUGAAGAAGUAAUUCGUUAUGUAAAGCUCUAUCAGCAGGGAAGAAAAUGCCUGUACCUGAGUAAUAAGCCCCGGCUAACUACGUGCCAGCAGCCGCCGUAAUACGUAGGGGGCAAGCGUUAUCCGGAUUUACUGGGUGUAAAGGGAGCGGAGACGGCAGUGCAAGUCUGGAGUGAAAGGCGGGGGCUCAACCCCCGGACUGCUCGGCAAACUGGACGGCUGGAGUGCAGGAGAGGUAAGUGGAAUUCCGAGUGUAGCGGUGAAAUGCGUAGAGAUUAGGAGGAAUACCAGAGGCGAAGGCGGCUUACUGGACUGUAACUGACGUUGAGGCUCGAAAGCGUGGGGAGCAAACAGGAUUAGAUACCCUAGUAGUC